AUGACUAGAUUAUUAUACUUCAUAUGUCUUCUCCUUAAACAGUGUGUGUAUGCUGUGUUUGUACUGCGUGUGUCUCAACCAGAGUCAGCAGUGAGAGUUCAGCCUGGACACUCUACAACUCUUCCGUGCUUCACACCAGAUGAUGGACACUUUAAAGUGUUCUGGUUCAAAAUACAAAACAGUUCUGCUCCAGUUUUUGUGGCUUUGGCUGAAUCAGACAAAACUGCCAUAAUAAUUGGAGACAAAUUUCAGGAUCCCACAAAGUAUACAUUAAGAUGGAACAAGCUCAGCUUCAGUCUCUCAGUACUGAACAUGGAGCAAACAGACAUCGCUGUGUACUACUGUGCGAUUAUUAUUUAUCGUGAGAUGUAUUUUGGAAAUGGAACAAGACUGAUGUUUGAAGAGCAUUUUAACGGGACAGAAAAAAAUGAGGAAAAGGAAGAUGACUGUAGGAAUCAGUUUGUCUUUGUUUGGCCAACACUGAUAACAAUCAUUGUGAUGUCCAUACUUCUCAACAUCAUUCUGUUCUACAUCUUAAAGAAACAUAGAGCAGGUAAUAUUUAUUUGCCGCCUAUACUGGUAUUUUCAAACUAUGCCCAUGCAGUUUUUGUUUUUCUAGUCUCACUUUGGUCAAUGUUUUCAGGCAUUUCACAAACUAACGGCAGUCAAAAUGUAAGACAUUUUCUACAUAUUAUUCAUAAUUUGGCGCUUCAAAUAUUUAAUAGCUGUCAAAUGCUGUAA
rnacentral:lncRNA from 1 species